rnacentral:rRNA from 1 species
GUGAGGAAUAUUGCGCAAUGGAGGCAACUCUGACGCAGCCAUGCCGCGUGCAGGAAGAAGGCGCUACGCGUUGUAAACUGCUUUUAACCGGGAAGAAACCCCAGGACGUGUCCUGGGUUGACGGUACCGGAGGAAUAAGCACCGGCUAACUUCGUGCCAGCAGCCGCGGUAAUACGAAGGGUGCAAGCGUUAUCCGGAUUCAUUGGGUUUAAAGGGUGCGUAGGCGGAGCGGUAAGUCAGUGGUGAAAUCCUGCAGCUUAACUGUAGACUUGCCAUUGAUACUGGCGCUCUUGAGUGCGCUUGAAGUGGGCGGAAUGUGCCGUGUAGCGGUGAAAUGCUUAGAUAUGGCACAGAACACCAAUUGCGAAGGCAGCUCACUAAGGCGAUACUGACGCUGAGGCACGAAAGCGUGGGGAUCGAACAGGAUUAGAAACCCCAGUAGUCC